rnacentral:rRNA from 1 species
CACGGGGGGGAGCAAGCGUUGUUCGGAAUCACUGGGCGUAAAGGGCGUGUAGGCGGUCAGAUAAGUGGAAUGUGAAAUGCCCCGGCUCACCCGGGGACCGGCAUCCCAAACUGUCUGGCUUGAGUAUGGGAGAGGAUGAGGGAAUUCCUGGUGUAGCGGUGAAAUGCGUAGAUAUCAGGAGGAACACCGGUGGCGAAGGCGCUCAUCUGGCCCAAUACUGACGCUGAUGCGCGAAAGCUAGGGGAGCAAACGGG